GUUAACAGGGGCCCAGGCGCUGGGGUGAUCAGUGGGGUGCGAGCGUGAAUGGCAAUGAGCGGCGGGAAAGCUGGCUCAGUCGGUGAUGUAAGACAGAUGUUAAAUCCCCGGGCUCAACCUGGGAACUGCGUUUGUGACUGAAUCACUCGAGGACGGCAGAGGGAGGUGGAAUUCCACGUGUAGCAGUGAAAUGCGUAGAGAUGUGGAGGAACACCGAUGGCGAAGGCAGCCUCCUGGGCCAGUACUGACGCUCAUGCACGAAAGCGUGGGGAGCAAACAGGAUUAGAUACCCGUGUAGUC
rnacentral:rRNA from 1 species